rnacentral:rRNA from 1 species
CAGUGGCGCACGGGUGCGUAACACGUAUGCAACCUACCUAUCAUUGGGGGAUAGCCUUUGGAAACGGAGAUUAAUACCGCAUAAGACAGUAGCAUGGCAUCAUGCAGCUGUUAAAGCUUUGGCGAUGAUAGAUGGGCAUGCGUCCAAUUAGUUAGUUGGUGAGGUAACGGCUCACCAAGACGAUGAUUGGUAGGGGAUCUGAGAGGAUAAUCCCCCACACUGGCACUGAGAUACGGGCCAGACUCCUACGGGAGGCAGCAGUAGGGAAUAUUGGGCAAUGGACGGAAGUCUGACCCAGCCAUGCCGCGUGCAGGAAGAAGGCGUUAUGCGUUGUAAACUGCUUUUUUAUAGGAAGAAGGAGACCUUGCGAGGUUUGGUGACGGUACUAUAAGAAUAAGCACCGGCUAACUCCGUGCCAGCAGCCGCGGUAAUACGGAGGGUGCGAGCGUUGUCCGGAUUUAUUGGGUUUAAAGGGUGCGUAGGCGGUUUAUUAAGUCAGUGGUGAAAGACGGUCGCUCAACGAUUGCAGUGCCAUUGAUACUGGUAGACUUGAGUUCGUAUGAGGUAGCUGGAAUGGAUAGUGUAGCGGUGAAAUGCAUAGAUAUUAUCCAGAACUCCAAUUGCGUAGGCAGGUUACUAAUACGAUACUGACGCUGAUGCACGAAAGUGUGGGGAUCAAACAGGAUUAGAUACCCUGGUAGUCCACACUGUAAACGAUGAUGACUAACUGUUUGCCCUUUGGGGUGAGGGUACAGAGAAAUCGUUAAGUCAUCCACCUGGGGAGUACGCCGGCAACG